AAAUAAACAAAUAAUAUUAAUUUUUGGUUUUUACCGGAGAAACCAAAAAAUCAAAAAUUUUAACCGAAUUAACUAAAAUGAAUAUUAAUUUAAAAUAAUAGUUAUAUUUUAGAAGAUUAAAAACAAAAAAAAAACUUAAAACCGAACCAAUAUCCAUAUUAGACAGAUUUAAUGUAUUUUUAUUAAAAAUAACCAAACUAAUAAAUACAUUCCGCGCAAGGCGCGGAUUAUUACCUAGUAUUGCAUUACAUUGCAUGUGAUCUUCUUUUACAUAUACAAAAAUGAUUAGCCUUC
rnacentral:lncRNA from 1 species